UUAACACUGAGAGAUGAUGACGAGGCUCUACGGAGCUGAAGUAACUGAUACCACACUUCCAGGAAAAGCCACUAAGCGAAAGGCUUUACUAAACCGUACUGAAAACCGACACAGGUGGUCAGGUAGAGAAUACUCAGGCGCUUGAGAGAACUCGGGUGAAGGAACUAGGCAAAAUAGCACCGUAACUUCGGGAGAAGGUGCGCCGGCGUAGAUUGUAAGGGCUAGCCCCUGAAGGUUGAACCGGUCGAAGAUACCAGCUGGCUGCAACUGUUUAUUAAAAACACAGCACUCUGCAAACACGAAAGUGGACGUAUAGGGUGUGAUGCCUGCCCGGUGCUGGAAGGUUAAUUGAUGGUGUAAUCGAAAGAGAAGCUCCUGAUCGAAGCCCCAGUAAACGGCGGCCGUAACUAUAACGGUCCUAAGGUAGCGAAAUUCCUUGUCGGGUAAGUUCCGACCUGCACGAAUGGCAUAAUGAUGGCCAGGCUGUCUCCACCCGAGACUCAGUGAAAUUGAAAUCGCCGUGAAGAUGCGGUGUACCCGCGGCUAGACGGAAAGACCCCGUGAACCUUUACUAUAGCUUGACACUGAACAUUGAAUUUUGAUGUGUAGGAUAGGUGGGAGACUUAGAAGUAGUCACGCCAGUGAUUAUGGAGUCGUCCUUGAAAUACCACCCUUUAACGUUUGAUGUUCUAACGAAGAUUGCGGAACGCGGUCUCGGACAGUGUCUGGUGGGUAGUUUGACUGGGGCGGUCUCCUCCCAAAGAGUAACGGAGGAGCACGAAGGUUUGCUAAUCACGGUCGGACAUCGUGAGGUUAGUGCAAUGGUAUAAGCAAGCUUAACUGCGAGACAGACAAGUCGAGCAGGUACGAAAGUAGGUCAUAGUGAUCCGGUGGUUCUGAAUGGAAGGGCCAUCGCUCAACGGAUAAAAGGUACUCCGGGGAUAACAGGCUGAUACCGCCCAAGAGUUCAUAUCGACGGCGGUGUUUGGCACCUCGAUGUCGGCUCAUCACAUCCUGGGGCUGAAGUAGGUCCCAAGGGUAUGGCUGUUCGCCAUUUAAAGUGGUACGCGAGCUGGGUUUAGAACGUCGUGAGACAGUUCGGUCCCUAUCUGCCGUGGGCGUUGGAGAAUUGGUUGGGGCUGCUCCUAGUACGAGAGGACCGGAGUGGACGCACCACUGGUGUUCCGGUUGUGUCGCCAGACGCAUUGCCGGGUAGCUAAGUGCGGAAGAGAUAAGUGCUGAAAGCAUCUAAGCACGAAACUUGCCAAGAGAUGAGUUCUCCCAGGUUAUAAACCUGUAAGGGUUGUUUAAGACUAAGACGUAGAUAGGUGCGGUGUGUAAGUGAUGUGAGUCAUUGAGCUAACGCAUACUAAUUGCCCGAGAGGCUUAACUAUACAACGCUCAAG
rnacentral:rRNA from 1 species